AUACCAACUCCCCGAGUGGUCGGGACGAUUAUUUGGCCUAAAGCGCCCGUAGCCGGCCCGGUAAGUUCCCGCCGAAAUCCCCGGGCUCAACCCGGGGGCCUGCGGGAAUACUGCCGGGCUAGGGGGCGGGAGAGGCCGGGGGUACUCCCGGGGUAGGGGCGAAAUCCUAUAAUCCCGGGAGGACCACCAGUGGCGAAGGCGCCCGGCUGGAACGCGCCCGACGGUGAGGGGCGAAAGCCGGGGGAGCGAACCGGAUUAGAUACCCGAGUAGUCC
rnacentral:rRNA from 1 species